ACUGCGCAUGUCCGAAGGGACGUGUCAAGGGUGGGGCGAGGAGGAGGGGCGGUGCCGAGGGGAGAGGCAGCCCAGAAGGAAAGAGCUGGGCGAGGAGAAGGGGCGGUGGCGAGGGAAGGGGCGGGGCGAGUACCGCUCCAGGAAGAACAGCGUUACUACGGCAACCAUGACAGGGAAAUUAAUGUUAUGACUGGAUAAGACAAUUGUGAAGAAACUGCACUUUGAGACUGUCUAUCUCCAUAUUCUGAUGGAAAAGCGUGGACUUUAGAAGCAUUGCUCACUCCUUCAGUUUCUAACAAGCCAGUUCUUGGAGAUACUAGGAAGCCAAGAGCUUCCUCCAAGAAUGGAGAUUCCUUGGAAGUGAGGUUCACCUUGAGUCAAGAAAGACAAAUCACAUACAGUCAAAGGCAAUUGCCCAGGGUCUCAAGAACAGAGCCAGAAAGAAGAGCUGGGGCCAACGGGAUUGUGGGGGUCCUCUCUCCCACCUGAAAAGCUUCUGCUGCCUGCCGAUCCUCUCGAGAGGAGACGUCUCUGGGCUCUAGCACCUAAAACAGACAAACCUGGGAGGAUGCUUCUCUCUUCUGUGUCACACGUGUCCUGGAGAAAACCCAUGUAUCUGAAUGACCAAAGAAAACUAUGAGAAAAAGUGCAAAAUCUGUGCCAGGCCAUUCAGUGUCUGGCUGGGGCUCUGGGGUGCACAUGCAUUCCAAGAAGACUGAAGGGUGCCAAGCCUGCAGGAACUGUCCAUCAGACCUGCCUCUCACACCUGGAGUAGGACUGCCCAUCCAGCUUCAUGAUGCAGAACUGUCUUUAAAAGGCGACUGCAGAUAUGGAGAGAGGGAAUUCUAGCCCUGAUAGAACACAACCAGCUGUCCUGCUGGGGAAAGCUGCAUCCACCAGUGACAUGCCGCUCAAACUGGCCCAGGACACACUCUUACUACCUAAGGAAUAAGCCCCACAUUUGCUCUUUGUGGGUAAAAGGAGAGGGUGAGAGAGGAGGGGAGUGUCCGCACAGACAUGAGAAGCCUGCAGAUCCAGAUGAUUCCUUGCUGAUCAGAAUAAGAAAGAUCGACUUGUGAAAACCAUGACCCCGUAGCAGAUGAGCUACUAAAGCAGGCUUCAACCAUGUGUCAUCUGGACCCACUGGUGGAGAAGUCUGCCCCGACUCUGUUGAUGGUCUGGGGGAUACCAUUACUGAGACAGAUUUAAGAAAUAAUCUCUACCAGUUGGCGAGAUCUGGAUGGUCACUUCUGCGAGACAGCAGUGUGCUCUUAUCAGCUUUCCACAGGGCAGGCUGUGGAAAUGGUGCUGAGAAGUCCUUUUGUAAAUUGAUUGUCCAUGGCUGCAGACUUACCAUCAAAUGGAAGAAGAUUCCAAGCUCUCAAAGAAAAGGAAAAAGAGAAGGAUGGAACCACAGACUCUGGGAUCCUGCCAGAGCCUAUUUCAGUGCUGCCAGGAGCUCCUCCUCCCCCUGCAGCUCUGGUCCCCGCCUUGGAGCCUCCUUCCAAGGAGUGAGACUACCUUUCUGACUUUUUCUGACCAUAGACACCUUUUCUGACUUUUUCUGUCCUUGGCACCUGCUGAGGACAGCAGACCCAGGGACCCGGGCUCCUGGGCCCAUUCUUGCCCAGCUUCUUCUUGAUCAUGUGACUUGAAGGCAUUCUUGUGCAGUGGAAGCAGGGCCCCAGGACCAUCUGAUAGAUUGAUAGUCUCUGGACUCUGCCCCACUGAUGGUCAGAUGGUGGCCACUCAGGGUGUGAGAGCCCAGCCAUAGCUGUUUCCUUGAGUUGAAGAGGUUGGAGGCUGGUCCACCUGCUCCUAUCCCACCCUGGGCGAUGUGGAUGGUUGCUCUUUGAGCCUGGUAACGUCACUGCCUUGGCCUUGCCAGGCAUGCCCUGCCUUGGGGGGGCCCUGCGUACCCACACACUACUUUAAGGGGCUUGCUCUUCCUUGGGCCAAAUUCUAGUUUUGGCCAGUGCCCCAGGAAGUUCAGUCCCCUGUUUUGUUAUCUUGGCUAUUUCUGGGGCACCCGUGGUUCUCCUGGGUCCAUUUUCUCCUUGGGCUUGGGCUGGGCUGGGCAUCUGUAGGUCUGGGAUGUUUGCCCUUUGAGGGAGGCUCUGUCACACAAGUGGGCAGGCAUGGGGACAUGUGACAGGCUGCUGGCUGGCUAGGGCUCUGCAGAUGCCACAAUCCCCCUCCCCUCCAGCAGCCUCUGAGUCCAGCUUCCCCACUGACACUGAUUUCACCCAGCUCAGGAGCUGAAGGCUGUGCUGCUCAGUGGCCCCUGAGAAAGGUCAGGUCCAGGUGCCACCAUGCAAGGGGAGUGUCUAUGGCCCUACUAUUGGGUUUUCAGUGGGCUGAGCAAGGCCUGGUUGUGGGGGCCCUGAUGGGGUUCAGGGCCAGGGCCUGUCCUAUGGUCCUGGGGGUGUCCAGGGAAGAUGAAAGAACAGGGGUUCAGCAUCCCUGCUCAAAGCUGCACUGUGGACACCAUGAACCCCGGAUGUCCAGGUCCAUGGGGAGAUUGGGAGAGAAUUUCAACACAGAACUCACCAAAAAUCCCAUGGUCUCUCCUGAGAUAGGAACAGACUUGCCACAUCUUGAGCCACUGGGCCCCCAGAGAGUGACCUGCUGUCCUGGGCUCUACGGAAUUCUCAUGCUGCUGGGCCUUGGCCUCAGGUCAGCUUCUGAGCUUCUGGGCUUCUGGAGCUGGGCUGGUGGGCCAGGGAGGGCCAGCCCAUCCCCCUUGGGAAGGGUCUCCAUGCUGAGGGAUGCCACAGAGGCCUGGGUGCCAGAGACACUCGCUCCAGGACCAGGGCCUUCCUAGGGAUCUUUGUAUGUUUAGCUGAAUGGAAAGCAAACUUGGUCCACUUCUCCCCCAAGCCCACCUGACCCUUGUACAGCUGGGCCCCAGGUAUCUGGGUCCUUGGAGUCUUGGGGUCUCUAGUAACCCACCUGGUCUGACACUGAGGAAACAUCUACAGGCUGCUGAUCCCACAGUGAGGGGUGUGUGCUGCCUGGGGUAUGGGCGCUCGUAAGUGAGGGGACCUACUGAUUUCACAGUGAGGGGUGUGUGCCGCCUGGGGUAUGGGUGCUCGUGAGUGAGGGGCCCUACUGAUUUCACAGUGAGGGGUAUGUGCCGCCUGGGGUGUGGGUGCUCAUGAGUGAGGGGCCCUACUGAUUUCACAGUGAGGGGUGUAUGCCGCCUGGGGUAUGGGAACAGAGGGUGGGGACCCCUGUUGCUCUCUGGCCCUGUUGGUGCUCGCAGCUAUGUGUGUGGGCUGGCACAGAUGGGACCAAACCCUCCAGGGCCCUCCAGGGUUCUUCUAGGGCAGGAGGGUAAGGGUGUGGUGGGGGGCUUAGAGGGAUCUUGCCCUCAUCCCCUGCCCUGUUACUCAGGUGAGUCCAACACCUGACCUGGGGCCCAGCUGGCCUGUUUUUAGAAGCUUCUUAGAGAAGGAAGAGGAGGAGGAGGAAGGCCUGGGGAGCAGGGAUGGAGGGUCCUGGGCACUCCCCACUAUUUACUGUCUUAGAUGGUGACUCAGGAAGGGACCUGGUGCUGGAGACCACCUGGGGGGCAGGUCACAGUGCAUCCUUCUGAGCUCAGCCAUGGAGGCCUAAAAGUGCCUGAGAAACACAUCAUCCAGAGCCCAGGUCUGGGACACUGUGUCUUGGGAGAGCUCCCACAGGACAAACAGGAGAGCUUCAGGAGAGGGUCUAGGUUUGGGGCUGGGCGUCAGGCCAGGAGGGUUCUCCUGGGAGGGGUCUGUGCCUUCACCCUGUUUCUGCCCUGUGCACCUUGCACUGGGCAGUGCUGGGUCCUUUCUGGACACCCCUAGGGUCCAGCUCUGCACAGGAGGCAACAGAUACAGGAAGGCCCAGGCAGGGAAGUGCUCGCCACACUCCUGCCUUUCAUCUUAGUUGUGUCAGGGGUGGGUUCAGUUUCCAGGAGGACUCAUGGUGCCCUGUGCAGCCCACCAGAGCUGGAUUGGUUUGGCCCUCCCUCUGGGCUAAAGCAGAGGGUUCUGUGGGCAGUGUGGGCACUGCCCUCGGGCCAGGUUUGAUGUACUUGUGUGCUCCCCCAGCGCCCUCAGGCACAUGGGGACAGGGUUCUGUGCACUUCCAAUGCCACAUGUGCCCUGGCUGUGAGCAUGUGCUUGCCCUGCAGAAGGCAGAUGUACCAGAGCCUCAGGAUGAGCUUGUGAUGAGCUUGAAGUAGGGGUUUGUGGGGACAGCAGGCAUGGGAGGACCUGGUCCUUCAAGGUAGAGGGCUGGUGGCCUGAGCAGGGCCUACUGGGGCCUCAAUCUGUGGUGCUGGGGGUCCCCUAUGUAUGGGGUGAGACCUCCCACAAAAGGCUGGAUCAGAUAAGGUCUUGCAGCUUCUUAUAGGGGUAGUCUCAUCUCCAUCAAAUGUGGCCCCUGAAAGAAGGGGCUCCCCAAGUACUCUCCCAAGAUGAGUCCUGGCCCAGUCUGCCCAGGAUGCUGGCCCUGAGUCCCAGCCCCAGCCGUGUGAUGCCCCCUCUCAGGCAGGGCAUGGUUUGUAUGCCCUGCAGGGACCUGCCUCUGCCUCCUGUGCAGAGGAAGGGAGCUGGGUCCUUCUGGAGGAGCCAGACCCCUCAGCUGGGGAAGCCAGGCCCUGUAGGGCAGCAGGGUCCCUGACCUGGGGUCUCCUGUGCACACUUAUCCCAUCAAUCAAUAACCGUAGAAGCCAUUUUAAGGUGGCAAUCUGGGUACACAACAUUUGCUUGUCUUCACGGAAGGAGCAGAGGUGUUCGGAGUCCCCUGGACUGCCCUGAAAACCUCACUAUUCCAGGCCCCUCUGCAGACCCUUCCCAAGGCCAGAACUCCAGGCAGUAGGCUGGGCUGUCACCCUCUUCUCUGAGACCCUACCCCUGUCCUGAGACCUCCCCAUUGCCCCUCAGAUGCCCCAUCCCUCCGGAUUGCCCACCUCCCCUGGGACCCUCCAUGCCCCACGUGCCUUACUUGAUGCGGCAGCACUCUCUCAACAUGGCGUGGCUUCUGAAGGUGUGGCUCACUUCUAGGUCAUUCUGGUGCACAUUCACUGAGGACAUCUUGGCCUGCUUCAUUUUCUAUAGAGCAGGGCCAAGCCUCAGAACAGAUACAAGACUCACUGUCAAAAUUGCUGUCAUGAAAUAGCGGUUCUUGAAGGAAAGGAGGCUUUUUCUGCAGAAACUUUAUUUCCAAAGCCAGGGAAAGUCAGCAGUGUGCAGCUCACCUGUGUUGCCCAUGCCACUGUCUGCCCAGGAUUUGUGACUGGCCCCUUCCGCCCCCUUGGGGUUGACUUUCCCUCCACCUGGGUAACUGGGCUUCUGACACGGUCCAGCCUAUGCAUCCUGCUCUGGCUGGGACUGGAAGGACCAGACCUGUGUUUCCCUGGGUUCUUGGCCUUCGCCUUCUCGACAUUCAGUAGGGGUGACCAUGCUGGGCCCCAGACCUCUGUGAGGUUUCCUUUGUAGAUCCAAUGAGACAUCUGUGGACAGAAGAAUGCUCUGGUGAGACAGGCCUCAGGGUGACCCCACGGGGGAUCCGAACCUAAGGAUUCUGGAAGCUUCCGGCCUUUGGCUCCACAGUUCCUCAGGAGAGGUUCAGUCUGCCUAGGACUGGGCCUCCCUUCCCAUGAAUAAAGAGUGAGCAAGAGCUCAGGUUGUGAACUCUGAUCAGGAUUUAUUCCUUCCUUUGGGGUGACCAGAAGGUAUUCCUGUUCCUGGCUUAGAAGUGGCCCAGGCCCUGGCAUCAGAUUCCUCCCAGCAAGGUGAUCCUUGCAGGGAUUGGCAGGAGGGCUGGGGACCAGGCCUGUUGUCCUUUUGGUGAGGAAAGUGUACCCUUCUCUGUCUGAGAGGCAGGCAGCACCAGGCAGCAACAAUGGGCAUCUGUCCUAAACCCUAAAGAGUGAUCACGGGGGACACUCACUCACCACUGUGCCUUCUCACUGUUCCUAGAUUUAUUCCAGUUGUUAAGCAUUCAUAACCAUUUAUCUGUGCAUCUGAUGCCCUGAUGUUUUUGCUGUAGAUAAGAAGUGAUGGAGUGAGCUGAGCUGCCAGGCUUCCUGGAGUGAUUCUUGGAUGCUGGGUCAUGUGCUUAGGGGCCCCAAUGUGAACUGGAAGGAGCCAGAAUAGGAGAGAACCCAGCCCCUGAUGAGUGGACACUGGCGGUCUGGCCUCAUGACCACAGGAUACACUGUUCCCAGGGCACAGACACCCUGGGCUUUGGUUGGAUCUUGGCCUCCAGGUAGGGCCCUGGUGGGCAGCAGGCCGCGAUUCCUGAGACACUACUGUGAUUCUCGGUGGUGGCUGUGGUAAAACUCCUGCAGGGCUGGAGUUUAGUGUGAGAUUCAGCAGGAACUGUGGCCUCUCCCAGUGACAAUGUGUCACUCCCACUCACCAGCACCCAUGCCCACAGGCCACGGACUCUGCCUCGCCAAACCCCCACCAAGUCGCACAUCUAUGGAGCAGCUCCCACGCAGCAGGGUCAGGUUCUUACCUCCACCUCCAAGGCACAGACAGGGGCAGCUGUGUCUCAGUGUAAGGCCAUGAGGAGACUGAGGACCUGGACCAGGCUGGGGGCCAUCCCCUUUCCUGAGCAGGCCUCAGGGAAGGACCAGCCCUGUCCUCAUCUGACCCAGGUCUCAGCCCAGGAGCCCACAUAGGGAAGAAAGAACAGAACAGGGCCUCCAUGCUGGCUGACACUCAGGAGGGGCCAGGGCAAUGGAGAAGAGGGAGCACAGGGCCAGGCAGAGGCUGCUUAGGAUCCAUGGGGGCUCAGGCUGCACAAUAGGGCUGCCCCUCCUGGGCUGCAUGCAGCAUCCCCUAUGGGAGCUGAGAAAGUCCAGUCCUGAGAUGGGACAGGGCUGCCCAGGGGUGUGUGGCUGGGCCCUGACAGCAGUCUCCCAAAAUGUGACUAUAUUGCCAGGCUCAGUUCCAGGAAUGCUAAGAAGUGCCCAGUACAGCGAGGAUGCACCUGGAGCCCAUCCUGUCUAAUGGACUCUGACCAUCCCGCAUCCACCUGCCUCUCCUGCAUAUCGGCCACCACCCCUUUCCUUUUCCUCAUUUCUCCAUCGUGUCUGACCCAGAGUCUGUGACCCUCUCUCCAGCCCCAGUGGCCGUUCUUUUCCCUUGUCCUGUCAGAGCCCCUGAUCAAGACUCCCCAGAUCCAUCCACAUGCCUGGCUUGUCCACUUACUAAUUGUGUUGCUCUGCACUGCCGGGGUGGCACCAGAGGCAAUGAGGGUGACUGAGGGCCCCACAGGUGGCCAGCUUUGCCGUUUACCCCAUCCCUAGCCUCAGGGGGUUCUCAUGGCUGUCAGCCAGUGGCCCUGGCUUGGGGGACCUGGCUGUCCUCCUCCCACUGUUCUGACUCAGCCUCGCCCACCUGUCCUCUGUCCGUGGUGCUGACCAAGCCAGCAGGUAGCAGGUCCCCAGAGGGUGCUGCUGGGCUUUGGGGACCCACCGAGGCUCCUCUGCUGAGGGUUCCCAGGUGAGUCGCUGCCACUGGUUCUACAUCAUCUGCUGUCCUCUUCAGCAUCAUCCACCCCACCCCAGGCCGGCUCCAUGCAGGUGCAUCCCCGAGUCACCAGUCUCAGGGCCCUCUGUUGUAGGAUGGAGAUUACUGUACCUUCUGUACACAUUCAUAUUUAUUGUGUGAAAUAAAGUAUAGAAGCUAAAGUAAAUGAGCUUUGGUUUGCAUUUUCCUGAUGAUCACUGAUGUUGAGCACUUGUUAGCCAUUUUUAUAUCUUUUUUAAGAGAUAAAUAUCUAUUCAGGUUCUUUGCUUGUUUUUAAAUCAGGUUAUUAGAUUUUGGUGAGUUUUCUCUCUUCUUUUCUAUUCAGUUGUGUGGCUUCUUAUGUAUUUUGAUUUUCACCCCUUAUGAGAUAUAUUGUUAGCAAAUAUUUUCUCUGAGGUCAUAAGCUGCUUUUUAAUUUCAUUGAUUGAUUUCUCCUGUGCAGAAGCUUUAGGGUUAGAUAUACUCCUACUUGUAUUUUUGUUUUUUGUUGCUUGUGUUUUUAAUG